rnacentral:tRNA from 1 species
GGCCACGUGGCGAAGUAGUAACGCAGCGGUCUGCAAAACCGCGAUGCACGGGUGCAAAUCCCGUCGUGGCCUCCA